rfam:Trichosporon asahii var. asahii CBS 8904 unplaced genomic scaffold scaffold00105, whole genome shotgun sequence.
GGCGAGAUGGCCGAGCGGUCUAAGGCGCUGUGUUAAGGUCUCCUCCUCAGCUCACGUCAGCAGAGGUCGUUUCCUCCGCAGUCUUCGGACGUGGGUUCGAAUCCCACUCUCGUCA